CAGUACUCUGGUUGUUGUCUCUCUGUGGCAGAGUUUCGGUUGAAAAGCUCAACUGGAGGUUGGUUAGGGUUUUGUUGCCUGUGAAUGUGAUAUUUAUCGCCAUGCUUGUCUCAAGCAUGUAUAUAUUAUCUCUGCUGGCAGCGAAGGUGUUAUACAUCUCUCAUUUGAUGCAGUCGGUUAUGCCUGGCAGAUUAUGAAUUGUUUUCUUACCCCAAGUUAUUCGCUUACCCUCAGGUGGGUUAUGGAUGAAGCAAAAAAAUCUACAAAAUAUGGUUCUCUUAAUGAAGUGGCAAAGGUGUUGCUCAACAAUUUAUUGUCUUUACCUUUUGCAAUAAUCAUGAUAUUCCUUUUCGGCGAGUGCGAUUAUGUAAUACACACGUGAGUGUAUGUUUCUUUGUUUUGAAAUUCAACGAAGCCUUAUACAAUCUCACCAUCGGUUUUGUUUUGGUUUCUAGCGACGUAGUGGACUGAUCGGACUUUCCAUCAGCUUUUGUUUUGGUUUCUAGCGACGUAGUGGACUGAUCGGAGUUUCCAUCAGCUUUACCUCAAUGUGGUUUUUACAUCAAACUAGCAAGUUGUCAUUUAGGUUGCAGUAGUCUAUGGUUAAAAUGACUACUCGGAUUUGCUAUAAGACUUCAGUUUAUGCUUUUAAUUUUCUUUAAAAUGGAAAUAAGAGCUAAAUAUUAACAUUUGACUCAUUGACAUGCAGCGUGGUGUUGUUUCUGAAGUUUCUUACUCUGGUCUUGUAGCUUAUAUACAAUUAAGGAGACUGUUAAUUUUUGGU